GCGAACGGGUGAGUAACGCGUGAGGAACCUGCCUCAAAGAGGGGGACAACAGUUGGAAACGACUGCUAAUACCGCAUAAGCCCACAGGUCGGCAUCGACCAGAGGGAAAAGGAGCAAUCCGCUUUGAGAUGGCCUCGCGUCCGAUUAGCUAGUUGGUGAGGUAAUGGCCCACCAAGGCAACGAUCGGUAGCCGGACUGAGAGGUUGAACGGCCACAUUGGGACUGAGACACGGCCCAGACUCCUACGGGAGGCAGCAGUGGGGAAUAUUGCACAAUGGGGGAAACCCUGAUGCAGCGACGCCGCGUGGAGGAAGAAGGUCUUCGGAUUGUAAACUCCUGUUGUUGAGGAAGAUAAUGACGGUACUCAACAAGGAAGUGACGGCUAACUACGUGCCAGCAGCCGCGGUAAAACGUAGGUCACAAGCGUUGUCCGGAAUUACUGGGUGUAAAGGGAGCGCAGGCGGGAAGACAAGUUGGAAGUGAAAUCUAUGGGCUCAACCCAUAAACUGCUUUCAAAACUGUUUUUCUUGAGUAGUGCAGAGGUAGGCGGAAUUCCCGGUGUAGCGGUGGAAUGCGUAGAUAUCGGGAGGAACACCAGUGGCGAAGGCGGCCUACUGGGCACCAACUGACGCUGAGGCUCGAAAGUGUGGGUAGCAAACAGGAUUAGAUACCCUGGUAGUCCACACCGUAAACGAUGAUUACUAGGUGUUGGAGGAUUGACCCCUUCAGUGCCGCAGUUAACACAAUAAGUAAUCCACCUGGGGAGUA
rnacentral:rRNA from 1 species